GACGAACGCUGGCGGCGUGCUUAACACAUGCAAGUCGAACGGAAAGGCCCUGCUUUUGUGGGGUGCUCGAGUGGCGAACGGGUGAGUAACACGUGAGUAACCUGCCCUUGACUUUGGGAUAACUUCAGGAAACUGGGGCUAAUACCGGAUAGGAGCUCCUGCUGCAUGGUGGGGGUUGGAAAGUUUCGGCGGUUGGGGAUGGACUCGCGGCUUAUCAGCUUGUUGGUGGGGUAGUGGCUUACCAAGGCGUUGACGGGUAGCCGGCCUGAGAGGGUGACCGGCCACAUUGGGACUGAGAUACGGCCCAGACUCCUACGGGAGGCAGGAGUGGGGAAUAUUGCACAAUGGGCGGAAGCCUGAUGCAGCAACGCCGCGUGCGGGAUGACGGCCUUCGGGUUGUAAACCGAUUUCGCCUGUGACGAAGCGUGAGUGACGGUAAUGGGUAAAGAAGCACGGGCUAACUACGU
rnacentral:rRNA from 1 species